rnacentral:rRNA from 1 species
ACAUGCAAGUCGAACGCGUUGGCCCAAUUGAUUGAUGGUGCUUGCACCUGAUUGAUUUUGGUCGCCAACGAGUGGCGGACGGGUGAGUAACACGUAGGUAACCUGCCCAGAAGCGGGGGACAACAUUUGGAAACAGAUGCUAAUACCGCAUAACAGCGUUGUUCGCAUGAACAACGCUUAAAAGAUGGCUUCUCGCUAUCACUUCUGGAUGGACCUGCGGUGCAUUAGCUUGUUGGUGGGGUAACGGCCUACCAAGGCGAUGAUGCAUAGCCGAGUUGAGAGACUGAUCGGCCACAAUGGGACUGAGACACGGCCCAUACUCCUACGGGAGGCAGCAGUAGGGAAUCUUCCACAAUGGGCGCAAGCCUGAUGGAGCAACACCGCGUGAGUGAAGAAGGGUUUCGGCUCGUAAAGCUCUGUUGUUAAAGAAGAACACGUAUGAGAGUAACUGUUCAUACGUUGACGGUAUUUAACCAGAAAGUCACGGCUAACUACGUGCCAGCAGCCGCGGUAAUACGUAGGUGGCAAGCGUUAUCCGGAUUUAUUGGGCGUAAAGAGAGUGCAGGCGGUUUUCUAAGUCUGAUGUGAAAGCCUUCGGCUUAACCGGAGAAGUGCAUCGGAAACUGGAUAACUUGAGUGCAGAAGAGGGUAGUGGAACUCCAUGUGUAGCGGUGGAAUGCGUAGAUAUAUGGAAGAACACCAGUGGCGAAGGCGGCUACCUGGUCUGCAACUGACGCUGAGACUCGAAAGCAUGGGUAGCGAACAGGAUUAGAUACCCUGGUAGUCCAUGCCGUAAACGAUGAGUGCUAGGUGUUGGAGGGUUUCCGCCCUUCAGUGCCGGAGCUAACGCAUUAAGCACUCCGCCUGGGGAGUACGACCGCAAGGUUGAAACUCAAAGGAAUUGACGGGGGCCCGCACAAGCGGUGGAGCAUGUGGUUUAAUUCGAAGCUACGCGAAGAACCUUACCAGGUCUUGACAUCUUGCGCCAACCCUAGAGAUAGGGCGUUUCCUUCGGGAACGCAAUGACAGGUGGUGCAUGGUCGUCGUCAGCUCGUGUCGUGAGAUGUUGGGUUAAGUCCCGCAACGAGCGCAACCCUUGUUACUAGUUGCCAGCAUUAAGUUGGGCACUCUAGUGAGACUGCCGGUGACAAACCGGAGGAAGGUGGGGACGACGUCAGAUCAUCAUGCCCCUUAUGACCUGGGCUACACACGUGCUACAAUGGACGGUACAACGAGUCGCGAACUCGCGAGGGCAAGCAAAUCUCUUAAAACCGUUCUCAGUUCGGACUGCAGGCUGCAACUCGCCUGCACGAAGUCGGAAUCGCUAGUAAUCGCGGAUCAGCAUGCCGCGGUGAAUACGUUCCCGGGCCUUGUACACACCGCCCGUCACACCAUGAGAGUUUGUAACACCCAAAGUCGGUGGGGUAACCUUUUAGGAGCCAGCCGCCUA